CAGUAGCCGCGGUAAUACGGAGGGAGCUAGCGUUGUUCGGAAUCACUGGGCGUAAAGCGCACGUAGGCGGCUAUUCAAGUCAGGGGUGAAAGCCCGGGGCUCAACCCCGGAACUACCUUUGAAACUAGAUAGCUUGAAUCUUGGAGAGGCGAGUGGAAUUCCGAGUGUAGAGGUGAAAUUCGUAGAUAUUCGGAAGAACACCAGUGGCGAAGGCGACUCGCUGGACAAGUAUUGACGCUGAGGUGCGAAAGCGUGGGGAGCAAACAGGAUUAGAUACCCCCGUAGUCCCUGUCUCUUAUAC
rnacentral:rRNA from 1 species